UACAGAGGUCUCAAGCGUUGUUCGGAUUUAUUGGGCGUAAAGAGCGUGUAGGCGGCCAGGUAGGUCCGGUGUGAAAACUCGAGGCUUAACCUCGAGAUGUCAUCGGAAACCAUCUGGCUAGAGUCCGGAAGAGGAAAGUGGAAUUCCUGGUGUAGCGGUGAAAUGCGCAGAUAUCAGGAAGAACACCAAUGGCGAAAGCAGCUUUCUGGGACGGUACUGACGCUGAGACGCGAAAGCGUGGGGAGCGAACAGG
rnacentral:rRNA from 1 species